rnacentral:rRNA from 1 species
UACAGAGAGUGCAAGCGUUAAUCGGAAUCACUGGGCGUAAAGCGCACGUAGGUGGAUAUCUAAGUCGGAUGUGAAAGCCCCGGGCUUAACCUGGGAACUGCAUUCGAUACUGGGUAUCUAGAGUAUGGUAGAGGGAAGUGGAAUUUCCGGUGUAGCGGUGAAAUGCGUAGAUAUCGGAAAGAACAUCAGUGGCGAAGGCGGCUUCCUGGACUGAUACUGACACUGAGGUGCGAAAGCGUGGGGAGCAAACAGG